GACGAACGCUGGCGGCGUGCUUAACACAUGCAAGUCGAACGGUGAAGCGCCUUCCUUUUUGGUGGGUGUGGAUGAGUGGCGAACGGGUGAGUAACACGUGAGUAACCUGCCCCCUUCUUCUGGAUAACCGCAUGCAAGUGUGGCUAAUACGGGAUAUUCUGGGUCUGUCGCAUGAUGGAUCUGGGAAAGAUAUUGUUUCGGUGGGGGAUGGGCUCGCGGCCUAUCAGCUUGUUGGUGGGGUGAUGGCCUACCAAGGCGGUGACGGGUAGCCGGCCUGAGAGGAUGGACGGCCACACUGGGACUGAGACACGGCCAAGACUCGGACAGGAGCCAGCAGUAGCGAAUAGUGCACGAUGGGCGCAAGCCUGUGGCAGCGCCGCCGCGAGAGGGACGGAGGCCGUCGGGUUGGGAAGCUCUUGCGCCAGUGGAGCAGGCCUGCCUCGUUUGUGGAUGGGUGGACGGUAGCUAGAUAAGAAGCGACGGCUAACUACGUG
rnacentral:rRNA from 1 species